rnacentral:rRNA from 1 species
AGCCGGAUCCUUGAGGGAUGAAAGCGGGGGACCUUCGGGCCUCGCGCGAUUGGAGCGGCCGAUGGCAGAUUAGGUAUUUGGUGGGAUAAAAGCUUACCAAGCCGACGAUCUGUAGCUGGUCUGAGAGGACGACCAGCCACACUGGGACUGAGACACGGCCCAAACUCCUACGGGAGGCAGCAGUGGGGAAUUUUGGACAAUGGGCGAAAGCCUGAUCCAACAAUGCCGCGUGCAGGAUGAAGGCCUUCGGGUUGUAAACUGCUUUUGUACGGAACGAAAAAGCUCCUUCUAAUACAGGGGGCCCAUGACU